ACAUGGACAGGUGAGAUACAGGUGAGAGACAGGUGAGACAUGGACAGGUGAGAUACAGGUGAGACAGGUGAGACAGGUGAGACAGGUGUGAGACAUGGACAGGUGAGAUACAGGUGAGACAGGUGAGAUACAGGUGUCAUCACUGCCGGGAUCAGCUCGUGGAGCUGGGGACAGGUGAGACAGGUGAGACAUGGACAGGUGAGACAGGUGAGACAUGGACAGGUGAGACAGGUGAGACAGGUGUGAGACAUGGACAGGUGAGAUACAGGUGAGAGACAGGUGAGACAGGUGUCAUCACUGCCGGGAUCAGCUCGUGCAGCUGGGGACAGGUGAGACAGGUGAGACAUGGACAGGUGAUAGACAGGUGAGAUACAGGUGAGACAGGUGAGAUACAGGUGAGAUACAGGUGAGAUAUGGACAGGUGAGAUACAGGUGAGAUACAGACAGGUGUCAUCACUGCCGGGAUCAGCUCGUGCAGCUGGGGACAGGUGAGACAUGGACAGGUGAGAUACAGACAGGUGAGACAGGUGAGAGACAGGUGAGAUACAGGUGAGACAUGGACAGGUGUCAUCACUGCCGGGAUCAGCUCGUGGAGCUGGGGACAGGUGAGACAGGUGUGAGACAGGUGAGAUACAGGUGAGACAUGGACAGGUGAGACAGGUGAGACAGGUGAGAGACAGGUGAGACAUGGACAGGUGAGACAGGUGAGAUACAGACAGGUGUCAUCACUGCCGGGAUCAGCUCGUGGAGCUGACAGGUGAGAGACAGGUGAGAGACAGGUG
rnacentral:lncRNA from 1 species